GUUUUUAACCUUGUUCAAUUAGACUUCCCUCAGCGUAAAAAACCACACUCCUCAAACACCACAAUGCCUUCCUCUAUGGUGGAGCUUUGAACUCCCAUUCUUCAUUGCAACGACUUGCCUUCUCUGAUGGCGAUUUGAACUUGGACACCCACUCUACACAUCUGGUGAAUUUUUCGUGGCUUAGGGUUUGUUCUCCUUCUUAUCAAGAGUUUCUCUUAGUCAUACAUUAUAUGGUCGAAGAUGACUGCACAAUUCUUUUAAUAUCGGCAAGUAAUGCAUCCUACAGUGUGCCACCUCUUUCAAACAUGAUCAACUGUAUUUCCAGCACCUGCUGUCCACAUAUUCAAAACUUGUCUCCAGUUUUUAUAGCUUGAAGGCCCAACAAUCUUCUAGCUUGAUAUUACCAAGAGCAUCUAAAUCACCACAACUAACUGUUGACAUUCAUGAAGAAGCAAGGCGUCAUCUUUGGGACUCCAUUGAUUCCAUCAAAAAUUUAUAUUUGAAGAACCAACCUUCAUCUGAUUAGAGUGAAGUAGAAGUAUGAGCAACUGAAAAUGAAAGAACAAGUUGAAGAACAAGACAAACCUAUUGGUUUAUGUUUUAGGAAUUAUUUUCAGAUAUUCUAAUUUAUACAUAUUACAUUUUUAUUCUCUUUUGUAAUGAGUUGAUAUUUAAUGUCUUAUAAUAAGGAUAGGAAAUUUUAUGUAAUGCGACACUACACUUCGUUGUAAUUUACUGUAAAAUAUCAUAUGAAUAAUCACAAUGUUGAUUAUUUGGUCA